UACGGAGGGUGCAAGCGUUAUCCGGAUUCACUGGGUUUAAAGGGUGCGUAGGCGGUCUUGUAAGUCAGUGGUGAAAUCUCGCAGCUUAACUGUGAAACUGCCAUUGAUACUGCAGGACUUGAGUACAGAUGCCGUGGGCGGAAUAUGACAUGUAGUGGUGAAAUACAUAGAGAUGUCAUAGAACACCGAUUGCGAAGGCAGCUCACGAAACUGUAACUGACGCUGAGGCACGAAAGUGCGGGGAUCAAACAGG
rnacentral:rRNA from 1 species